CCUUACUUUUAAAAGCCAAGUGUAGAAAGCUUUUGUGAGCGGAACCCUUUCAUAUACGGAAAGUCCAAUUUCAUAUUUGAACGUCUCAUCAAAGUGAAAAUUCAUCAACAAAAGUGAUAUGCAUAACCUUCUUGAAGCUGUGUGUCACCAUUACAUCACAACGACAAGAUAAAGGAAAAUGCCCAGAAGAGACAGUGUUUAACGAAAACACUGGAACCGCAAUCCAAGUUUAUGAUGUCAAAUUGCUGUGGACGUAUAACAGAGGCACGGUUUUCAGCGAUUGCAAUGCCUGCUGCUUGUAAUAACAAGUAGAGUCAUAUCUCACAAUUCUGCUAUUCUUGCAAAGAGUCUACUUCUUGGGAACAGACAGUACAUAUACGAAUGAUUGAGAGAUGUAUACGUGCGUCAAGGCAAUAAAUCACUCGACUGGAAGAAGUAUUCGAGCGUGUACAUAAUAGAUAUAAGUGAUAAAGGCCCUGCUGCUGCGUUACGUGAAGGUUGCAGUAGGCCUGCCAGACACAAUCGUUGGCUCGCAUUGAAUUGAGCCGGUAAAAAUGGUGGUAUCUGCAAUAUAUAGGUCGCUUGCACCUCACGAUUCUAGAUGAGCCCUUGUUGGCGUGACGUUGUAAAAGAAAUGUCCUUGGCUUAUCAACAACAGACGGAGAUCUGUUUGUGGGCACAUACACAAAAGUCGAUAGCCAAUUUUGCGUAAACGGUUAGAGAUCGCAAGCGAAAUGUUGCGGUCAGUAUACGCGUGCACGAAAGCAAUGUGAUAUCAAGCGUUUUUUUUUCAAUGGCUGAUGUCGACCAUACGUGUCUUCAAUUGACGAAAAUAGUGAAGAAAUUGAGCCAUCUCAUUCCCGGUGCAUUUACGUCUGAUUGAACAAUAAAAACAAUUUGAUUUCUCACGCUACUACUGAUGUACGUAUAUAUACUAUACGGCGAACGAGAGUAGAAGGCAUUAUAACCUUCACGUCGCAUAGUAAAGUUCACUCAGUAUAAGAAAUACGAUGUAUACCCCCGUCAUACUUGGAUCGCGAGUUUGGACGGGUUGGCUGUUUGACGUUAUAAAAGCUAUGUAGUAUGUACGGUUUCCACCGGUGGGCCGGUUUGUCUUGCUAAUUGAUUACGGAGACGAAAUGGAAAAAGGGGGGAGUAUUUUUCGUUUCUUCCGUUUGACAACUUCCAUAAUUAGGUGGACCCCGACAAAGAUGAAGAAUCGCACAGUCUCGUGCACUCGCAAAGGGCUUUCUCGUACAACAUGCGUUUGAAGUAGACUAGUACUAUAAACUAGCUGACGAGUUUCGAUUAGGAAACAAAUUCCUCGAAAACUGCCAACGUUCAAAUAAGAAAUUCCCUUUUUUUUUUUUUUUUUUUUAAUUCAAAUUUGGUGUGUUCCUCUUCCGCAAAACAGUCGAUAGCCUUAUUGUGUAUAUUGCACAACAUCGUUCAUCAUGCCAAGCCGCCUUAAUAUAAAUCUAUAGGUCAACCCCUUGUUGCACGUCUAUUGCGACGUGGUCACGCAGCCUUCAGAUUAUCCCGAUUAGGCUAUUUCGCGAAUAAGCUUUACAUUGAAAGUAAGAACGUGUAAUCCAGAGCUUUUUACACGACGACGCAACAAU
rnacentral:lncRNA from 1 species